GCCCAGCUGGCUCAAUGGUAGAGCAUUGAGCUUCUAAAAUGAUACUCAAAGGUUGUGGGUUCGAGUCCCACGUUGGGCU